rnacentral:rRNA from 1 species
UACGUAGGGUGCGAGCGUUAAUCGGAAUUACUGGGCGUAAAGCGUGCGUAGGCGGUCCGCGAAGUCUGAUGUGAAAGCCCCGGGCUCAACCUGGGAACUGCAUUGGAAACUAACGGGCUCGAGUGUGGCAGAGGGGGGUGGAAUUCCACGUGUAGCAGUGAAAUGCGUAGAGAUGUGGAGGAACACCGAUGACGAAGGCAGCCCCCUGGGCUAACACUGACGCUCAGGCACGAAAGCGUGGGGAGCAAACAGG